rnacentral:rRNA from 1 species
CCUGCCUACGGGGCGCAGCAGUGAGGAAUAUUGGUCAAUGGGAGGAAUCCUGAACCAGCCAUGCCGCGUGCAGGACGACGGCUCUACGAGUUGUAAACUGCUUUUGUACCGGGGUAAAAUGCCUUACGAGUAGGGUUUUGAAAGUACGGUACGAAUAAGGAUCGGCUAACUCCGUGCCAGCAGCCGCGGUAAUACGGAGGAUCCGAGCGUUAUCCGGAUUUAUUGGGUUUAAAGGGUGCGUAGGCGGCAUUAUAAGUUAGUGGUAAAAUAUUGGGGCUUCACCUCACUACGCCAUUAAUACUGUA